UACGGAGGGUGCAAGCGUUAUCCGGAUUCACUGGGUUUAAAGGGUGCGUAGGUGGGUUUGUAAGUCAGUGGUGAAAUCUCCAAGCUUAACUUGGAAACUGCCGUUGAUACUAUAAAUCUUGAAUGUUGUGGAGGUGAGCGGAAUAUGUCAUGUAGCGGUGAAAAUGCUUAGAUAUGACAUAGAACACCAAUUGCGAAGGCAGCUCACUACACAAAGAUUGACACUGAGGCACGAAAAGCGUGGGGAUCAAACAGG
rnacentral:rRNA from 1 species